CAGUCGCCGCGGGAAUACGAAGGGUGCAAGCGUUACUCGGAAUUACUGGGCGUAAAGGGUGCGUAGGCGGUUAGUUAAGUCUGUCGUGAAAUCCCCGGACUCAACCUGGGAAUGGCGAUGGAUACUGGCUGGCUAGAGUGUGUCAGAGGAUGGUGGAAUUUCCGGUGUAGCGGUGAAAUGCGUAGAGAUCGGAAGGAACAUCAGUGGCGAAGGCGGCCAUCUGGGACAACACUGACGCUGAAGCACGAAAGCGUGGGGAGCAAACAGGAUUAGAUACCCCCGUAGUCCCUGUCUCUUAUAC
rnacentral:rRNA from 1 species